AUGGCGGAUGGCGGCGGCGGCGGCGGAGAGUAUAGCAAUCUCAACAACCCUAUCACCUCCCCCACAAGAACUGCGGCGGCGGAUGGCGGCGGGGAAGACAUCGAGGAGGGGAGGCCUUGGCUGGUGAGCCCUCCGCCGUUCAAAAUCCGCCGCAAGCUGAGUGAUCCAGGUGCGUUUGCGGCGGCGGCGAAUGGCGGCGGGGAAGGCGUCGUGGAGGCGAGGCCUCCGCCGGUCAAAAUCAGAACCGCGGUGGCCGAUGGCGGCGGGGAAGACGUCAUGGAGGCGAGGCCUCCGCUGGUCAAAAUCCACAAGCUGGGUGCUCCAGGUACGAGUUCAAUUCGGCCUGAGGAUCAGAUUGAGGUCAUGCCUGCCAGCGACUACGAGAUGAAUUCGAUGCGUCCGGAGCACUUGGGGAAUGACGACAUGGACUUCAUUAAUCUGAUGCAUCCGGUGAUCCCAUGCGGUGAGGUUCAGAAGGACGAGAUGGGCUUAGGCAAACACUCCAUCAUCUCUGAGCAGCAGAUUGAGAACAAGACGACACUGGGGGAGGGGGAGGUCGAGAUGGACCUAGGCAAAUCAAACUCCAUCAUCUCUGAGCAGGAGAUCAAGGAGCUCUGCAAGCAGAUGAACAGUAUGGUCGUUUUUAUGAAUUUCAGGAUCGUACCAUCAGCCCCACUGUGCAGCAGCAGCAGCAGCAGCAAGGAGAUGAAAGAUGAGGACAAGGCGCAGCCCGUGAUUGACGGCAUCUUAAAAGAGUUAGCUGAUCUGCAGGGCAGCAUGUCCAAGCUCAAAUCGCAACUGAAACCUUUCUGGCACACCUACCCGUAUGAGGAGGAUUAUGUGGCGCCGGAGGAGGAGAAGGAUCCCAAGGAGAAGGCAAGGAAGCAGAUGGAGGAUGAUCAGGAGGUCUAUGAUUCCUACCUUCAAGGCCUUGGAUCUAAAGUUGGACACUUUGGAUACGCAACCCUAGUGAGCCCCAUGCACUUUACACACUACACGCCCAGACAGAUCCCAUCCGAUUAUACUACUCGUGGGAUCACCUUGCAGAUCUUCUCCUUCAAGAUUGCCAAGAUCAGUUUGGACCUGGAAUGGCCACUCCUGCAAUGGCCACUCAAAGUGUAUGGCGUCAUCGCCGCACGAGACAGUGUGGACCGCAAGCGCAACGUUCUCUUCCACCGGCUAAGGGACAACUUCCAAGAGAUCACCGAAAAAGACUCCUUUUUGUGCUUGACUGGCCCAUCUCGUGCAAUCUCAGCCGAAUCCCCUCUUGAGUUUGAAGUUGAACUAAAACUCAAGGGCGGCGAAGCAAAGUCUGAAGACAGCGUGUUGAUCAAUAGAAAAGGCCAUUACAAUGGUUAUGAUACCCAUAAUGGUUUCUAUACUGUCACUUUUGACAACUGUCUUUGCACAACCGAGUUAAGCCUGCAGAAACUGUAUAGUGGAGCAGUCCAAGCCACUUUCUUGCGUGUCGGCAUUGUUAAAGGCAGUCAAAGCCCUUUCAGUUAUGGAGGCAGAGUUGCUUGCUCCUCACCACCUCAGAAAGAUGGUAGUGAAGGCCCUGCCACUCCCACCCAAGUUGUAUUGCUUGAUUCUCGUUAUUGUGCUGGCGGGAAGAUGCCAAUAGGCGAAGAAGAUGGUUACCUUGAUCUGUCAAGGCAUGUUGUUUCUGUUGAAUUACGAACAGUGAGUGAAGAUUCUGAAGAAUUGGAAGAAACCCUGAAAGUUGUCAUAGAAGCCUACUCUCCUGUUGGUCCUGUGCAAGCUUCUGUCAUGGUCAGGCCUCAGUACUGCGGCAUAAGUAAACAUAAAUGUGACCUCGACGGCUCUAAGGUGAAGAUAACCAUUGCUUGGUCACCUAUUAUUAGCAGUGCUUUCACCAAAAAGGCUAUUCUGUGA
rnacentral:rRNA from 1 species